rnacentral:misc_RNA from 1 species
GUGUAGGAGACGAUGAGAUUGAUGUUAAAAACAAUGAAGAUGCAAAGAAUGUAUUGGAAAUUGUACAAGAAGAAACUGGAAUACUAAAUGGUGGAAAUGAAGCAGCACACCUAGCCAAGUCUCAUUUUGAAAUUGCAAACGAAGAUUCUGAAAUAGAGAUAGUGGACGAUAUUGGUGAAAAUGUUCAUAGAGUUGAGGCAUUUCUGGAUGAAAAUGGGAUUCCACCAGAUGCCUACUAUUUUAUCAAUCCAACAUCAUAUGAGCCUAGGGGCAGAGCCUAAGAAUCUUAACAAGAAUCGAGCAAUUUAAAAUGAAAAUUCAUUGCAGGCUAACGAACUAACAGAUUAACAUCCUUGCAAGAGUCCUACUAUUAUGAGUAGAGGAUAUUAAAUUGAAAGUGUUAGUCAUAAUUGUUGUGCGUUGUGCAGAAUGUGAGUUCGAAACUGCUAAUAUUUAGAUACUUCAUGGCCUAAUCAACUUUAAAAUGAUGGUUCCCCAGAUAUUUCUAGCGAAAUGAUAGAAUGUUAAAGUUAAACGUGCUAUCAACAAGACAAAUAAAACCUAUGCAAAA